rnacentral:lncRNA from 1 species
AGUCGGGGUUGCUGUGAGCCCGGUCGUAGCGGCGCGAGUUGAAGCGCUCGAUGCUGGCACGCAGGGCACAUUCCUCUGCCUGGAAGUCCCAGGGUCGGGCAUCCAGGUCGUUGCCAUAAGCCCAGUCAUCGUUCAGGCGGUGCCGCACUUUCUGGUAGAUGGCCGACAUGGUCUUCAUGUUGCUCUUCCUCCACUGCCGGCCCAGGUACUUGGUCUGCACCUUGAGCAGCUUCAGCACGUAGAGCUGCAUCAUGGC